UAAAAUUUCAGCUCUUUUUGUAUUUGUCCAGCAGGCUUUCUGCUUUAGCAGAGACCCUC
rnacentral:snRNA from 1 species